rnacentral:piRNA from 1 species
UGGGAUAAUAUUCACUUUCAGUGAGUGCA